rnacentral:tRNA from 1 species
GGGCAGGUCGCUCAGUGGAAAGAGCACGGGCUUUGGAGUCAGAGGUCAUGGGUUCGAAUCCCGGCUCGGCCA